GCCUACGGGGGGCAGCAGUAGGGAAUCUUCCACAAUGGGCGAAAGCCUGAUGGAGCAACGCCGCGUGGGUGAAGAAGGUCUUCGGAUCGUAAAACCCUGUUGUUAGAGAAGAAAGUGCGUGAGAGUAACUGUUCACGUUUCGACGGUAUCUAACCAGAAAGCCACGGCUAACUACGUGCCAGCAGCCGCGGUAAUACGUAGGUGGCAAGCGUUAUCCGGAUUUAUUGGGCGUAAAGGGAACGCAGGCGGUCUUUUAAGUCUGAUGUGAAAGCCUUCGGAUUAACCGGAGUAGUGCAUUGGUAACU
rnacentral:rRNA from 1 species